rnacentral:tRNA from 1 species
GCGCCUCUAGCUCAAUGGCAGAGCAACGGACUCUUAAUCCGCAGGUUGGGGGUUCGAAUCCCCCGGGGCGCA